UACGUAGGUGGCAAGCGUUGUCCGGAUUUACUGGGCGUAAAGAGCGCGCAGGCGGUCGUUCAAGUCGCGUGUGAAAGCCCCCGGCUCAACUGGGGAGGGUCACGCGAUACUGAUCGACUCGAAGGCAGGAGAGGGUAGUGGAAUUCCCGGUGUAGUGGUGAAAUGCGUAGAUAUCGGGAGGAACACCAGUGGCGAAGGCGGGUCUCUGGGCCGAAAUUGACGCUGAGGCGCGAAAGCGUGGGGAGCAAACCGG
rnacentral:rRNA from 1 species